rnacentral:lncRNA from 1 species
CGGUUGAAAAAUUUGGAUUCCGUUGCUACGGCACUCAACUAGCAAGCCAACACACGCGCGCGCGCCACGUCCACGUCUUAGUCGUAGUCGUAGUCGUAGUCGUCGCGCGCGUGUUGUUUUACCCACAUCCGAUUGAAAAAUUUGGAUUCCGUUGCUACGGCACUCAACUAGCAAGCCAACACACGCGCGCGCGCCACGUCCACGUCUUAGUCGUAGUCGUAGUCGUAGUCGUAGUCGUAGUCGUAGUCGUAGUCGUAGUCGUAGUCGUAGUCGUAGUCGUAGUCGUAGUCGUAGUCGU